rnacentral:tRNA from 1 species
GGUAGUGUGACCGAGCUUACGCGGUGAGUUGUAUCCUCACCUACUGGUGAUGUACCCACGCUACCGAGCC